UACGUAGGGGGCUAGCGUUGUCCGGAUUUAUUGGGCGUAAAGCGCGUGUAGGCGGUCCGGUAAGUCCGCUGUGAAAGUCGGGGGCUCAACCCUCGAAUGCCGGUGGAUACUGUCGGGCUAGAGUGCGGAAGAGGCGAGUGGAAUUCCUGGUGUAGCGGUGAAAUGCGCAGAUAUCAGGAGGAACACCAAUUGCGAAGGCAGCUCGCUGGGACGUUACUGACGCUGAGACGCGAAAGCGUGGGGAGCAAACAGG
rnacentral:rRNA from 1 species